UUGGGACUAGAACCCCGGUCCUUCUGACUCCCAGUCCCGGGCUCUAUCCACUAGUCCGUGUUGAUUCUCUAAAUUGACAAAGCCUGUUUUUCAGCGAGCUGGCAAAGGAGACCGCAGUCAGAAUCCCCGGUGAUUUUCACUCUUCCUUUUCUAAAUUAAAAAACACUUGGAUGCAGAAAAGCACCGAGUUUCUCCAGUGGGCCUUCGAACAUCGUUGACUCACAGAACCGCUGGAGCAAACACCCCCAAAUUGCUCUUACGUCAGGAUCGGAAAGUUCAGCAAAAGCUCCGUGAAAGGAAGUGACCUUUGUGACCCUCUGAAAAGGUGUUAGCUCCCUAACACACCCCCCGGGAAGAGUGAGCUGAAGAAGAGAAAACCUACGUGACCGGCAAAUCCAGCACACUUCCAAGGUCAGCAGAUCUGAAAACCCUUGGGCUUCCAACGGGUGACCCUCGGAACUGAUCACGAUCGACACGAAGACAUUGGCGAGGUCUCAUCUCUAGAAUGUCAUCUCGCCACGGGCAGGGAAGGCAUCUUCCAAAGCUGUUGUAUUGGACUCUCCCAAGUGCUUAGUACAGUGUUCUGCAAACGGUGAAGAACGGGAAGAGCGGAAAAGUACAACGUGUCCCUCAUUUUAACGGCAGCCAAAGAACUCGACGAGACUUCAAGCGUCGGAUAGAAGGCCUGAGAGGCUUUCGCGACGUAAUCAUCCAGAAAUGUUCUUUCGCGGCACGUUAUUCUCAAGGAAGAGAUGGAAUUGCACCCCGAAGAGCUCUUAUUUGUAAUGGCUGAGACCUGUUUCACCUCAGAGUUUCCCAAGACAUCAUACAAGCCAUUCCAGAAGCCAGACCCAUUUUGAUUUAAGGAAAUCUGCCAAGAUGGGGGGAAAAAAAAAGUUGCGGAGUUCAGAUUCAUUUUCUGGGGGCAGAGCACUGUACUGAGUAUACACAGGUGUGGUGAGCCCACAACAACAACAAGGAAGAAACUCGAAGGCCUUAUGGGCUCUGAGACAGGUGCGUGCCGGCCUGUGCGGGCGGAGCAUGGAGGGAGGUGCCUGUUCUAGGGGCCUGGGCCAAUCAGUCACUGCCACGUAGAGCCACAACUGCGGACAAUUAAGACUCUCCUCUUGAAUCGUGAAGAAGCAGAGGGAAACAUCUGGAGCAGAAGUCGCAGAGAGAAUAAUAAUA